UUAAUUAAGUUGUUUACACUUCAUAAAGUUGAUGUAUUUCUGAUAGGAUAGAAUUCAUAACAUCUACUAACUAGGACUUGAAUUUAAUUAACUGAUACAUCCCACCAAUGAAAAGCCAAAUUAAUCAUCUUUCUCGCAUCUCUGAGGCACAAAACCAAUUCCAUAAACUCAUCUGACAUCAAUUAGCUGUUUCAUAGACUAAGAUCAGAUCCUAGUAGAAACAGAGAAAAUAAUUAAUAAAAGUAGUACAGGGGCAGACAGAGAGAAGACUUCGGAUCAACAUAUACAUGGUGGAUAACCCUUCAAGACAAAAAACAACAGCCAAAUAUUCCAUGAAAUAGAAUUUAAGGAAGAAAACGGUAUGAUGCAUAGAAUAAAAAAGAACAUUGAAAACACAAUCCUAUCCUUGUCAACAUCCUAUGUAGACUCUUUCACUCGCCAACUUUGAAAUUAUUAUUAGAACUAAAGUCAGCAUAAGAAGGCAUCACAAAGGAAGAUCUUAUUUACAGUCACUCUGUUUCACCAGGCUUGUGCUGUUGACACUCCCAAAAUUGCACUUGCAAGCAGUAACCAAGAAUCCCAAGCUACUAGCGAUCGACAAACGAUUUGUUCAUAAGGUCAACUGCAUUAUCCAUGAACUUUCCAAGCAACUUAAGUUCUCGUCCAACAGGUUCCAUAAAUUUUAGGUUAACAUCUAUAGGCCACACCUGUGCAUGUUAAAAAACAUGAUUAGAUAGCAAGGGAAAUAACAGAAGGAAAAUGAGUGAAAGCUAAAAGCAGAGUUAGAUUUUUCUGCAACAAAUACAACAGGGGAAAAAAAAAAAUUACAGCUGAGCUCAGUAGCAGUGUUUUUGGCAAGGUUAUAUAAAACUUUUAACUCCACGAAAUGCACAUUUUUGCGAACAAGUACUGCCCUUACAAAGAUAAUAUUAAGAUUAUACAAAAAUAACCUUCCCUCUAUAAUAAUUCACAGAGAGAAUCAAAUAGCACCUUACCGAGCAAAAAAUUAGGAUAAUGCUGGUUGUUA
rnacentral:misc_RNA from 1 species